ACAGGUUCAGGUUCUCUGGCGGGUUCAGGUAUGGCUUCGGCAACAGGUUCAGGUUCUCUGGCGGGUUCGGGUAUGGCUUCGGCAACAGGUUCAGGUUCUCUGGCGGGUUCGCGUAUGGCUUCAGCAACAGCUUCAGGUUCUUUGGCGGGUUCGGGUAUGGCUUCAGCAACAGGCUCAGGUUCUCUGGCAGGUUCGGGUAAGGUUUCAGCGACAGGUUCAGGUUCAUUGGCGGGUUCGGGUAAGGUUUCAACAACAGGUUCGGCUUUGACG